GACGAACGCUGGCGGCGUGCUUAACACAUGCAAGUCGAACGGAAAGGCCCUGCUUUUGUGGGGUGCUCGUGUGGCGAACGGGUGUGUAACACGUGAGUAAACUGCCCUUGACUUUGGGAUAACUUCAGGAAACUGGGGCUCAUACCGGAUAGGAGCUCCUGCUGCCUGGUGGGUGUUGGAAUGUUUCGGCGGUUGGGGAUGGACUCGCGGCGUAUCAGCUUGUUGGUGGGGUAGUGGCUUACCAAGGCUUUGCCGGGUAGCCGGCCUGAGAGGGUGACCGGCCACAUUGGGAAUGAGAUACGGCCCAGACUCCUACGGGAGGCAGCAGUGGGGAAUAUUGCACAAUGGGCGGAAGCCUGAUGCAGCAACGCCGCGUGCGGGAUGACGGCCUUCGGGUUGUAAACCGCUUUCGCCGGUGACGAAGCGUGAGUGACGGUAAUGGGUAGAGAAGCACCGGCUAAAUACGGG
rnacentral:rRNA from 1 species